CCAGCUUGCUGGGUGGAUUAGUGGCGAACGGGUGAGUAACACGUGAGUAACCUGCCCCCGACUCUGGGAUAAGCCCGGGAAACUGGGUCUAAUACCGGAUAUUACCUCUUGCCGCAUGGCAGGUGGUGGAAAGAUUUAUCGGUGGGGGAUGGACUCGCGGCCUAUCAGCUUGUUGGUGAGGUAAUGGCUCACCAAGGCGACGACGGGUAGCCGGCCUGAGAGGGUGACCGGCCACACUGGGACUGAGACACGGCCCAGACUCCUACGGGAGGCAGCAGUGGGGAAUAUUGCACAAUGGGCGAAAGCCUGAUGCAGCGACGCCGCGUGAGGGAUGACGGCCUUCGGGUUGUAAACCUCUUUCAGUAGGGAAGAAGCGAAAGUGACGGUACCUGCAGAAGAAGCGCCGGCUAACUACGUGCCAGCAGCCGCGGUAAUACGUAGGGCGCAAGCGUUAUCCGGAUUUAUUGGGCGUAAAGAGCUCGUAGGCGGUUUGUCGCGUCUGCCGUGAAAGUCCGAGGCUCAACCUCGGAUCUGCGGUGGGUACGGGCAGACUAGAGUGAUGUAGGGGAGACUGGAAUUCCUGGUGUAGCGGUGAAAUGCGCAGAUAUCAGGAGGAACACCGAUGGCGAAGGCAGGUCUCUGGGCAUUUACUGACGCUGAGGAGCGAAAGCAUGGGGAGCGAACAGGAUUAGAUACCCUGGUAGUCCAUGCCGUAAACGUUGGGCACUAGGUGUGGGGGACAUUCCACGUUUUCCGCGCCGUAGCUAACGCAUUAAGUGCCCCGCCUGGGGAGUACGGCCGCAAGGCUAAAACUCAAAGGAAUUGACGGGGGCCCGCACAAGCGGCGGAGCAUGCGGAUUAAUUCGAUGCAACGCGAAGAACCUUACCAAGGCUUGACAUGUGCCAGACCGCUUCAGAGAUGGAGUUUCCCUUCGGGGCUGGUUCACAGGUGGUGCAUGGUUGUCGUCAGCUCGUGUCGUGAGAUGUUGGGUUA
rnacentral:rRNA from 1 species